CCACCCGCCGCCGCACCGGGGAGUUUUCCAACCGCCGAUCGAGGUAAAUUUCAUACCCCGGCUCGUUUUUCAAUGGUGAGUUCUCCUGUGGCCAAAUCGGAGCCAAACUCCCGGCCAAACGGCCGAAAAACACGACCGAAACCCAGCGGCGCUGCCGCGUCCCUCCUCAAUUUUUGCCUCCGAUGAGGCCCUUUCCGGCCUUUGUUUGAUACAAUUUUUAUAUCACCGUGAUCACCAUUCUUUUCUCUACAGGUUGAUCGGAGCCAAAUCACCAAAACACGAACCACACCGGAGAGCCGCCGCACCCGAGAGCACCGCCGCCGGUAAGCUUCGGUUUUUCGUAAUUUUUUGGCCCCCCGAGGGCCCUAGGGUUGUUUUAUCGCAUGGACCGAUGUAAGUGUGGCCGAAUUCGGCCGAAAACGGCCAACCCAAGGUGAAUCGCCGUCGCCGGAGCACGGCGGAGCCGCCGUGCUAGAAUUGCGAUAUUGGCCGAAAGGGACCCUAGGUCUGAUUCUGAG
rnacentral:lncRNA from 1 species